GAUGAACGCUGGCGGCGUGCCUAAUACAUGCCAGUCGAGCGAACGGACGAGAAGCUUGCUUCUCUGAUGUUAGCGGCGGACGGGUGAGUAACACGUGGAUAACCUACCUAUAAGACUGGGAUAACUUCGGGAAACCGGAGCUAAUACCGGAUAAUAUUUUGAACCGCAUGGUUCAAAAGUGAAAGACGGUCUUGCUGUCACUUAUAGAUGGAUCCGCGCUGCAUUAGCUAGUUGGUAAGGUAACGGCUUACCAAGGCAACGAUGCAUAGCCGACCUGAGAGGGUGAUCGGCCACACUGGAACUGAGACACGGUCCAGACUCCUACGGGAGGCAGCAGUAGGGAAUCUUCCGCAAUGGGCGAAAGCCUGACGGAGCAACGCCGCGUGAGUGAUGAAGGUCUUCGGAUCGUGAAACUCUGUUAUUAGGGAAGAACAUAUGUGUAAGUAACUGUGCACAUCUUGACGGUACCUAAUCAGAAAGCCACGGCUAACUACGUG
rnacentral:rRNA from 1 species